CUAAAGAAUUACCUAUGUUGAGGCAAGAAAAAAAAUACUAACAUAGGUUGACUCUUUUAACUAGGAAAGUGUUGCGUGAGAAGCAAGGUCCGAGGUCAGAGGACAUCAGUCUUUUGUCUAAUUUCAGGCCAGUCUCCUAUGUGUAAGAUUUGCAUGAAGAGUGGAAAAGAUGCAAGGACACUUCCUUGGAUUCAGCCUUCCCAGGCCAACUUGCCAAAUUAAUGAGGAAUAAAGCUUCCGUCUACUCAACAGCUACCACCCUCUUCCCAUGGAUCGCGACUGAAAUGUGGUUAUAAAUGAUUUUCCUUUACCUACGCUUAGGAUUGCAUGGACUCUCCUGGAUUGUAAUUAGCCAGUUCACAUCCCUGAAGUCUGAUCAUAAAAUCCUUCAAAUUAAAAUUAUUCCCCUAACCUUGCCCUACAAAGUCUUACUGAUCUGGUCCUUCCUAAUCCUCUAGACUCCUUCUGGCCUGUCAAACACACCAAGCCUGUGCACUAUUGUUUCUUCUACUUGGAACGCUCCUUCCCUUCCCUCUAAUCUUCACAUGGCACCUUCUUACAGAGGUUCUUUCCUUGUCCCCUGCAGCCUUGCCGAGGUACCUCCCCAAUCACCCAAUUUUCUCUUUUCUAGAGUACUCAUUGUAUUAUUCUUAUUUUCAUUAUUUCCUGUCUUCUCCAUUGGAAUGCUAACUUCUCAAGGGAGAGGCUCUGUCUGUCUUUUGUCCUGUGCCCCAGGACCCAGCCCAGGGUAGUACUUAAUCAAUAUUCACUGACUGACUGUCUAAUGGUCAUUAUUUCUAAUAACUUUGACUUAUUAGCCUCAAGAAGUACUCCCACAUAGCAGGGCAACAGGCAGCACUGAAAAAUAAAACACAUUUAAUAAUAUACCAAAAAUAUUUUUCUAGGUACUGCUGCAAUGCCAUUCACGGCCUGGGAUAAAAAGAUGAGAAACUGAGGCCUGGAGAAGGCCCCACAGAUGGUUGAGGAGAGCCAGAUCAUGAACCAACAUCAUGGCACAUCUCGCCUGAAGAACCCACACCAGUUCCAGAGCCUUCAGGAAGUCCUUCCCAUCUACUCACUUCUUCCUGCCUCCAGUGGUUCUGGAAGAAUUCAGAGAAUGCCUCAUUUGCAGGGCUAAAAGAAGCCUAUGGAGGCUUCCAUUCCUGUCCUGGGCAUGUAGGCACAAACAAGAGUCAUCUCUACCCCCAGUAAGAAGGGUUACUGCAUAAGUGAGCACAACAGAAGAGAAGCCUGCCCAAGGCCUCCCCAGAGAUUUGGCUUUCUGCGUCCUGAAAAUUGGUUUCACCUAAGCCAAGAAACCAGUUAUCAGAUGGGAAUGGCAUUCUGUCAUCCCAGCCUGGGUCACCAGACGCCUAGAGGUGAGAGUCUUUGGGACAUAUUUCCCUGAUUAAACCAUCAUGGCAUCCUUCUGACAUGUAAGUGUGGAAGAAAGGAAUGUGUUACCGGGACCCAGUGAACAAAUCUUUUUAUAGCAUGACGUUGGACAUGAGGAUGUGGAUGCCUGAACACUAACAACACUUCAGUAAAGAACUAUCUUCAGUAGAGGCCCUCCCAAAUGCCAUCCCACAGUGACACAGAGGGAACAGUCUGAAGAAACUGCAAAGAGCUGCAUUAUUUGUAAGCAGAAAGUGGGAACCAGUUUGUAUCACAGCUGCUGAGGACAGAACAAAAACAAGUGGGCCUGAGAAGAUCAGAAGGAAAUAUGGGCCAACGGAGACUGCAGACUCUCUGUUUCCCAUUGUAGAUUUUUAAAACAUGAUAGUUUCUUCUAUCUGGGGAACUAUUUAAUUGUGGUCACUUUUGAAGGCAGAAGCCUAGUCUCCAGUUGGGGGAAUGGGACCAAUAUGGAUAAUAUAGCUUAAUCUGAUGCAGUCAAGAAGGGGUGGAGCAAGGAAAUGAAUAUUUAUUGAUUGUCUAUGAUGUGCUAGUCAUUUUUCAAUCAUUGACUUAUUUAAUCUUCCAAACCACACCAGGAGGUUGCUAUGACUAUCUCUCCCUUUCAAAACAGGAGGAUGGGGCUCAGGAAGCUAAGGGAACCUACAACCAAGGAGAGGUGGGAAGCGGAUCAGGGCUUUGAAGUCUUUUCUUACUAAGAACAAGGACAACCCCCAACCUCAGAUGCCAAUCAGUACAAUUA